UGAGAUAAAUGGUCAGUGGACAGUGCCA
rnacentral:piRNA from 1 species